CAANUAGCGUGCAGGAUGACGCCCCUAAUGGGUUGUAAACUGCUUUUAAUGGGGGAUAAAGUGGAGGGACGUNUCCNUUUUUUGUAGUACCGCAUGAAUAAGGACCGGCUAAUUUCCGUGCCAGCANCCGCGGUAAUACGGAAGGUCCGGGCGUUAUCCCGGAUUUAAUUGGGUUUAAAGGGAGCGCAGGCUGAUUGUUAAGCGUGACGUGAAAUGUAGCCGCUCAACGGCUGAACUGCGUCGCGAACUGGCAGUCUUGAGUGAGUACGACGUCAGCGGAAUUCGUGGUGUAGCGGUGAAAUGCUUAGAUAUCACGAAGAACCCCGAUUGCGAAGGCAGCUGACGAGUCCUUUACUGACGCUAAAGCUCGAAGGUGCGGGUAUCGAACAGGAUUAGAUACCCCUGGUAGUCCGCACGGUAAACGAUGGAUGCCCGCUGUUGGCGAUACAAUGUCAGCGGCCAAGCGAAAGCGUUAAGCAUCCCACCUGGGGAGUACGCCGGCAACUUGNAAGCC
rnacentral:rRNA from 1 species